rnacentral:rRNA from 1 species
AAGUCUGACGGAGCAACGCCGCGUGAGUGAUGAAGGUUUUCGGAUCGUAAAACUCUGUUGUUAGGGAAGAACAAGUUGGGUAGUAACUGACCCAACCUUGACGGUACCUAACCAGAAAGCCACGGCUAACUACGUGCCAGCAGCCGCGGUAAUACGUAGGUGGCAAGCGUUGUCCGGAAUUAUUGGGCGUAAAGCGCUCGCAGGCGGUCCUUUAAGUCUGAUGUGAAAUCUCGCGGCUCAACCGCGAACGGUCAUUGGAAACUGGAGGACUUGAGUACAGAAGAGGAGAGUGGAAUUCCACGUGUAGCGGUGAAAUGCGUAGAGAUGUGGAGGAACACCAGUGGCGAAGGCGACUCUCUGGUCUGUAACUGACGCUGAGGAGCGAAAGCGUGGGGAGCGAACAGGAUUAGAUACCCUGGUAGUCCACGCCGUAAACGAUGAGUGCUAGGUGUUAGGGGGUUUCCGCCCCUUAGUGCUGAAGUUAACGCAUUAAGCACUCCGCCUGGG